rnacentral:rRNA from 1 species
GACGAACGCUGGCGGCGUGCUUAACACAUGCAAGUCGAACGGAAAGGCCCUGCUUUUGUGGGGUGCUCGAGUGGCGAACGGGUGAGUAACACGUGAGUAACCUGCCCUUGACUUUGGGAUAACUUCAGGAAACUGGGGCUAAUAUCGGAUAGGAGCUCCUGCUGCAUGGUGGGGGUUGGAAAGUUUCGGCGGUUGGGGAUGGACUCGCGGCUUAUCAGCUUGUUGGUGGGGUAGUGGCUUACCAAGGCUUUGACGGGUAGCCGGCCUGAGAGGGUGACCGGCCACAUUGGGACUGAGAGACGGCCCAGACUCCUACGGGAGGCAGCAGUGGGGAAUAUUGCACAAUGGGCGGAAGCCUGAUGCAGCAACGCCGCGUGCGGGAUGACGGCCUUCGGGUUGUAAACCGCUUUCGCCUGUGACGAAGCGUGAGUGACGGUAAUGGGUAAAGAAGCACCGGCUAACUACGUG